UCGAGGAUCUUCGGCAAUGGGGGCAACCCUGACCGAGCGACGCCGCGUGGACGACGAAGGCCUUCGGGUUGUAAAGUCCAAAGGUACCAAGGAAGACUGACUGAGGUACAGUAAGCACGGGCUAAGUUCGUGCCAGCAGCCGCGGUAAGACGAACCGUGCAAACGUUGUUCGGAAUCACUGGGCUUAAAGGGCGCGUAGGCGGGUCGGCACGUCUGAGGGGGAAAGAACACAGCUCAACUGUGGCAGGG
rnacentral:rRNA from 2 species